GGGUAACGUCCCAACAAGCCGAUAAUCGGUACGGGUUGUGAGAGCAAGAGCCCGGAGAUGGAUUCUGAGACACGAAUCCAGGUCCUACGGGGCGCAGCAGGCGCGAAAACUUUACACUGCGCGAAAGCGCGAUAAGGGGACCUCGAGUGCGUGCGCAAUGCGUACGCUUUUCAGAUGCCUAAAAAGCAUCUGGAAUAAGGGCCGGGCAAGACCGGUGCCAGCCGCCGCGGUAACACCGGCGGCUCAAGUGGUGGCCGCUAUUAUUGGGCUUAAAGGGUCCGUAGCCGGACCAGUUAGUCCCUUGGGAAAUCUUACGGCUUAACCGUAAGGCUGCCAAUGGAUACUGCUGGUCUUGGGACCGGGAGAGGUAAGAGGUACUUCAGGGGUAGGAGUGAAAUCCUGUAAUCCUUGAGGGACCGCCAGUGGCGAAGGCGUCUUACUAGAACGGGUCCGACGGUGAGGGACGAAAGCUAGGGGCACGGACCGGAUUAGAUACCCGGGUAGUCCUAGCCGUAAACGAUGCGAGCUAGGUGUCACGUGGAUUGCGAAUCCAUGUGGUGCCGAAGGGAAACCGUGAAGCUCGCCGCCUGGGAAGUACGGCCGCAAGGCUGAAACUUAAAGGAAUUGGCGGGGGAGCAC
rnacentral:rRNA from 1 species